GGGGAUUUAGCUCAGUGGUAGAGCGCUUGCCUAGGAAGCUCAAGGCCCUGGGUUCGAUCCCCAGCUCCG
rfam:Rattus norvegicus chromosome 8, whole genome shotgun sequence.